rnacentral:rRNA from 1 species
CUAACACAUGCAAGUCGAACGGUAACAGGAAGCAGCUUGCUGCUUCGCUGACGAGUGGCGGACGGGUGAGUAAUGUCUGGGAAGCUGCCUGAUGGAGGGGGAUAACUACUGGAAACGGUAGCUAAUACCGCAUAAUGUCGCAAGACCAAAGAGGGGGACCUUCGGGCCUCUUGCCAUCGGAUGUGCCCAGAUGGGAUUAGCUUGUUGGUGGGGUAACGGCUCACCAAGGCGACGAUCCCUAGCUGGUCUGAGAGGAUGACCAGCCACACUGGAACUGAGACACGGUCCAGACUCCUACGGGAGGCAGCAGUGGGGAAUAUUGCACAAUGGGCGCAAGCCUGAUGCAGCCAUGCCGCGUGUAUGAAGAAGGCCUUCGGGUUGUAAAGUACUUUCAGCGGGGAGGAAGGGAGUAAAGUUAAUACCUUUGCUCAUUGACGUUACCCGCAGAAGAAGCACCGGCUAACUCCGUGCCAGCAGCCGCGGUAAUACGGAGGGUGCAAGCGUUAAUCGGAAUUACUGGGCGUAAAGCGCACGCAGGCGGUUUGUUAAGUCAGAUGUGAAAUCCCCGGGCUCAACCUGGGAACUGCAUCUGAUACUGGCAAGCUUGAGUCUCGUAGAGGGGGGUAGAAUUCCAGGUGUAGCGGUGAAAUGCGUAGAGAUCUGGAGGAAUACCGGUGGCGAAGG